CCUACGGGUGGCUGCAGUGGGGAAUAUUGCACAAUGGGCGCAAGCCUGAUGCAGCCAUGCCGCGUGUGUGAAGAAGGCCUUCGGGUUGUAAAGCACUUUCAGCGAGGAGGAAGGUGGUGAACUUAAUACGUUCAUCAAUUGACGUUACUCGCAGAAGAAGCACCGGCUAACUCCGUGCCAGCAGCCGCGGUAAUACGGAGGGUGCAAGCGUUAAUCGGAAUUACUGGGCGUAAAGCGCACGCAGGCGGUUUGUUAAGUCAGAUGUGAAAUCCCCG
rnacentral:rRNA from 1 species